AUACUUACCUGGCAGGGCGAUUCCAUGAUGACAAAAGUUUUUUCCCCAGCGUGAGGCUCCCCCAUCGCACUCCGGACGUGCUGACCCCUGCGAUUUCCUCAAAUGUGGGAAACUCGACUGCAUUAUUUAUGGUAGUGGGGGACUGCGUGUGCAUUAUCCCCUA